CCAGCUUCAAACAGCUGUAAAAACUAUAUGGUUUGUUAUUGAAAUCGAAAAUACAUUUCACAGCAAUGUUCUCACGCAAGUGGCAAUUGAGCAAACCGUGUACAAGUUUUAGCAACCAGGAAAUGACAGAGCGCUUUCUACACUGGCCACUUGACCCGAUUUCCCUAGACAACACAGCCACAAACUCAAAACAGUUUUCCCCAUUUUGAGAUGCCAGACCAGCAGGAGAAAUCAAUAGAUGAAUAUCACAACACUGGUGGUAGCUCCUGGCUAAUGACAACCAGCUGUCCCGAUGCAUCAUGGGACUUCUUGGUCAUGCACUCAAGGUCGGCCUCCAGGCGCAUCUUCUCCUUGACCAGGGCAUCGCCCUUCUUCUCACCCAAGCGAACUUUGCCCUCCAAGGCUGGUGGACAAAAAGAAGUUUGAGAAGGAUUUAGAGUUAAAUGUUUGGUUUGGACCAACAAGUACUGCAAUGUCGGCACCUUAAAUAUAUAUACACUGAACAAAAAUAUAAACGCAAAGUGUAACAAUUUCAAAGAUUUUACUGAGUUACAGUUCAUAUAAGGAAAUCAGUCAUUUGAAAUAAAUGAAUUAGUCCCUAAACUAUGGAUUUCACAUGACUGGGAAUACAGAUAUGCAUCUGCUGGUCACAGGUAUCUUAAAAAAAGGUAGGUGCGUGUAUCAGAAAACCAGUCAGUAUCUGGUGUUACCACCGUUUGCCACAUUCAGCGCUACACAUCUCCUUUGUAUAAAGUUGAUCAGGCUAUUGAUUGUGGCCUGUGAAAUGUUGUCCCAAUCCUCUUCAAUGGCUGUGCUCCAUAUUGGCUGGAAUGGAACACGCUGUUGUACACGGUAAGUAUGCAGGCCAUGGAAGAACUGGGACAUUUUCAGCUUCCAGAAAUUGUGUACAGAUCCUUGCGACAUGGGGCUAUGCAUUAUCAUGCUGAAACAUGAGGUGAUGGCGGUGGAUGAAUGGCACGACAAUGGGCCUCAGGAUCUCAUCACGGAAUCUCUGUGCAUUCAAAUUGCUAUCGAUAAAAUGCAAUUGUGUUUGUCGUCCGUAGCUUAUGCCUGCCCAUACCAUAACCCCACUGCCACCAUGGGGCACUCUGUUCACAACGUUGACAUCAGCAAACUGCUCUCCCACACGUGGUCGGUCGUUGUGAGGCCGAUUCUCUAAAAUGACGUUGGAGGAGGCUUAUGGUAGAACAUUAAAUUCUCCGUCAACAGCUUUGUUGGACAUUCCUGCAGUCACUAUGCCAAUUGCACAUUCCCUCAAAACAGUGGCACUUUGUUGUGUGACAAAACUUCACAUUUUAGAGUGGCCUUUUAUUGUCCCCAGCACAAGGUGCACCUGUGUAAUGAUCAUGCUGUUUAAUCAGCUUCUUGAUAUGCCAUAUGUGGCAGGUGGAUGGAUUAUCUUGGCAAACAUUUUUUGUGCGUAUGGAAAAUGUCUGAGAUCUUUUAUUUCAGCUCAUGAAACAUAAGACCAACACUUUACAUGUUGCGUUUAUAUUUUUGUUUAAAAAAAAGGAUAUGUAUAUUCAGUUGACAGUCAGUGAAAUGUUUUAUUUUUAUUAUUCAUUUGUUUUAUUAUUAAUUCAUUUAGUUUUAUCAUUUCAUUACUUUACUUUUUUUUCCAUGCAAUAUAUUUGAGAGUAAAUGUUCUCAGGCAAUCAAAUACUGUACAUGUAGUUGAUAGAGAAUGAAUGUGUCGUAUUUGUCAAGACAUUCAUGGAGUGCAAAAUACAAUAAAUAGAAAAAAGAGAUUACAUA